ensembl:misc_RNA Metazoa_SRP Metazoan signal recognition particle RNA
UUUGGGCACAAUAGUGUGUGCCUGUAAUCCCAGCUACGUGGGAGGCAGGAGAAUUGCUUGAGCCCAGAAGCUCUGGGCUGCAGUGUGCUACACUAAGUUCGGAAUCAAUAUGGUGACUCCUGGGAGCAGAGGAUCUGUAGGUUCGUUAAGGAGGGGUGAACCGGCCCAGGUCGGUUAGUAGUAGUGCUUAAGAGUAGUGGGAUCAUGCCUGUGAAUAGCCACUGCACGCCAGCCUGGACAACAUGGCGAGACGCCGCCU